rnacentral:lncRNA from 1 species
UGUAAAACAAUAUUUAUAGAGUCAUCGGUAAUUAAUUUUUUUUGUAAUGUAAAAACUAAAUAAAUUCAUACGUACUACAAUACAGAUAACCGGGAUAUGAAAUUUACUUUACAGUGACUCGUGGGCCCACAAGGAACAAAAGUGCAUAAAGGCAAUAAACCUACAGUUUUUGGAGUAGUAAAGCGGACUAUAGCCUUCGACGAUAUCAGCUAUCUACACACUAUCCUGAGCCUGAAAUGGGUGGAAAUGAGGGUGGUGAGAUUAUAUAAUCCCAGUGAGUAAACAAAUAUCAUCUAAAAUAUCUAAAGUCGAGUAAAUGGAGGCAAUUAAAAUAAAUCAUCAUACUGUAAUUUCAUUACCUUUCAACUUAUUUCAACCAAAUAAACAACUAGGCUUAUGAUUUCCUGAAAAGCUUGGCUCGUGCAAAAAAUCAUUCUCAUACUCAGUUAUCAGGGAUGCCUUGAUCGAGGGCUAUCCCAAUUGAGUUCGCCAAGGCUGUUAAAAAGUCAUUUACGCAUAAAUUAUGUUUUUAUUUUGAAAACAUAGGCGUUCCUUGGCGUUGGCUGAGUUCACCCUCACGUGGUGGUUUGUCGUGAAGUGAACUCUAAAAGUGUUAGCCUCAAGAGUUAUCUAUCCGCGCCUCUCAUGCAGAGGUAAGAUAUAACGGGGUUUACCGUGCCCCUCGAAUAGGUUGGUCCACCGAAACCCGCCCACUGCAGUAAGCUCAUCAUUAUCCCAUCAAUCAAUAAAAUUCAAUAACAUGAUAUGGCAAUUAUUGUAAUUCACAGCCUUUCAAGGCUAAAUACACUGUCAAACCCUAUUCUAUAAAAUAAUUACGACGUCAUUUACAUGCUCAAUAGAAUGUUUGCAUAUUUAGGAAGUUCGAGGAAUCGUUAAAAGACGAUAUUGCCCUUAAUGGUACCAUUAAGUCGAUUAAGCCUCGAACUAGUUCAAAUAGGAAUUUUAAGGUGAAAUUAAGAGUUUCACAGUUUAGGAAUGACUCAAAAUCGUAAUUCGGAGUUCGAGGAUCAAUUUGGAGUCAAAUCAAAAUUUUCACUAUCCAAGGGCAAAAUGGUCAUUUGCCACUUGGGGACAAAAUGAGAAUUUUUAGAAAAGAUUUUUUUUGGCCUCAUUUGACUUAUUGGAGUAUGAUUUGAAGUUUAGAAGUAAAAAAUUUUAAUUUCGGUAUAAUUUGGAGUAUAGGGGCGAAAUGGUAAUUUUGCCACCUCGGGGGCAAAUCGAUAAAUUUUCACCCCCGACACUUGUCAAGACCAAGGGAUUUUAUUCAUCAUGGAAAUAGAUAAACAUGAGAAAUGUGUGGUGGAGAAUUAAAGAAUUAAAAGUCAAAUAUUUAAAAUUUGAACCAAUAAGGAAAUGCCAUGUGUCAUGUUUUUAUUAUUUUAUUAUUUCUUUAUAAAAAGGCAAAAAAAUCAGCCCAUUUCUCCCAUAGUGAUCAGCCAAACAAGAAGAGAAGAGAAACCAAGGAAGAACAAACCCUAGGUGGAAAAAAUCAAAGAGAAAGUGUUAGAAUUCAAGGAUUUGAUCAAGCAAAGGUAAAAUUUCUUUGAUUUUGCUAGUGAUUUACCUUACCCAUGCAUUUUCCCUUACUUUCCAUGGUUAAAUUACAUGUUUUCAUGAUGAAUUCAUGGUUGGUCAAAAUGGGUAUGGAGAGAGAAUGAUCUUGGAUUGGUUUGAUUUUUAGGUAUGUUAGUGUUUUUAGGUGAUUAAUGAUGUGUAGCAUGAAAACAAGUGAAGAAAACCACCAAAGGUUUGGAACCCAUCAAUAGCCGAAUUCUCUAAGUGAAUAAUGAGGAAGAAUGGGAUGUUAUUCUAGGUGAUUUGAUUAAGAAAUAAUAGUUUUUGGUGUAGGAAUUAAUGAAUUAUGGAGAGAAAAUUAAGUAGGAAAAAUGACGGAGUUAGUUUACCAUUGUUGGCCGAAAGUUCCAAGAAGAAAAGUGAAGAUAAAUUUUGCCUAAUUGUGUGUUAAUUAGUUGUGCUUGGUGAAUUGAGGGAUUGGAAAAGAAAUGGAGCAAGUUGGAGUGAAAUUGGAUGCAUUGGCCAAUUUAUCGGAUGAAAAAUCGACUUAGGCCAAUACCGAGUCUAGAUGGCUUCCCGUGCAUUUUUCAUUUCAUAUCAUGCAUAUAUAUCGAGCCUGAAAUAACUUAUGACUGUUAGACACAAUUUAAUUGGAAUAUGUGUCAUGGAUUAUGGCUAGGUGGUGAGCAAUUGGAUACGAGUAAAGGACUGUACCCGCGGACUGAAAAUAGGAGUAUUUUUACUCCUAAUACUGUGAGUAAACCUAUUAUCGUCUGAAUUAUCUAAAGUGGUUUUUAUCCGAUUUUGUGAUUUUAUGAAAAAUGAGUUUAAAUGGUAAAUCUUUAUGUUUUAUAAACAAAAUGUGAUUUAAUAAAAUGAUUUCAUAAAAUUGUCUUGAAAUUGAAUGAUGGCUUUGAAAAUUUGAGUAAUUAGAGACCAUGUGAUUUAUUGUAAAUUAUGAUUUGAAUUAAAUGGCUUGUGAUAAAUUGGCAUGAUUGGCUGAAUUUAUACCUGUGUUGAAAAAUAUGAACUGUCUGUUUUGCCUUGAUAAAUUGGUUAGUAAUGUAAUUGCCAUGCUAUGCCAUUGAGAUUUGAUCAAUUGGUGGAUUAAAGAUUAGCUACUGCAGUGGUGGGGGGUUCCGUGGACCAGCCUAUUAGAGGGGCACGGUAAACUCCUUUAUAUUCUCACCUCGGUCGUAGAGGCGCAUAGGAUAUCUCCUAAGGUGGGCUUUUUGAGUGCACUUCACAUUAACCACCGCAUGAGAGUGAGACUCAGCCAACGCCAAGGAACAGUUGUGUGUCAGAUGCGAAAACAUAUUUAUGGGUAUGGGACAUAUAACAGCCUUGGCGGUCUUAGUGGGAUACCUUGACGAAGGUACCCGCGAGAAUGACUUUGGCAGGAGCCAAGUUUUGUGAAAUACAUAAGCCAAGUUGAUUAUUUGAGUAAAUUGAUUACUGAUGUUAUGAAAAACAUACUGGAAUGGAAUAUCUUGUCUCAAUUUACUCGCCUUUAGAUAGUUUAGAUGGUGUCUGUUUACUCACUGGGAUUAUGUAAUCAUAAUCUCACCCUUCUUCCUAUCCAUUUUUCAGGCUUAGGAUAGUUUGUUGAUAGUUGAUUAAGAUGUGAAUUAAUCUCGGAGUUGCAUCCUAGAAAGUAAGGGUUCGUAGCCCUACAUCUUCUUGGUCAGUUAGGGGCCCACGUGUCAUUGUAAAAGUAAUUUUAUACUUCAGUUAUCUGAUUUAAAGUAUGUAUGAACAUAUUUAUCUUUUACACCAUGUUUUUGGCGGGUUUCGGUAUUUUUGAAGAAAAAUGACGAAAAUGCCCUUGUGAGCCAAAAAAAAUAAUAUUUUAUUGUUUUGAUUUAGAAACAACUUAUGAUUUUCUUAAAAUGUGAGAUUUAAUAACUGUCGCUCACCGGGGAGAUGCAAAAGCUGAUGCUAAGCCUUGCGGGGUUUCGAUCGGCAUUCGGGGUAAUGAGUGCCUAUCGAGACGUUGCGGCGGUUGUCAUGGGCCCGAUGGGAGUUCCGGGUCGUGACAUACACAGUUCAUAUAUUUAAACACAAAUACCAAUUCAGCCAUUCUUGCAAAUAUUGUCAUAAGCUAGUCAAUUCAAACCGUGAAUUUACAACACCUCAAGUGGUCUCCAGUUACUCUAUUUUCAAAGUCAUCAUUCAAUUUCAAGACAAUUUAUAAAAUCAUUUUAUUUAAACACGUUUUGUUUGUAAAACAAAAAGAUUUACUAUUUAAACUCAUUUUCCAUAAAAUCCACAAAAUCGAAUAAAAACCACUCUACAUAAUUAAGACGAUAGUAAGGUUACUCACUGUACUAGGAGUUCAAUAUACUCCUAUUCCCGGUCUUCAGGCACAAUCUCUUUACCCUUGUUAAAGGGCUCACCACCUAUACAUCAUACAUGACACGAAUUUCAAUAAAUUGUGUUAAUUUAUCAUAAACUAUUUCAGGCUCUCUAAAUCUAAAUGAAUGCAUGCGAUGGGAUGCAAAAUGUCCGAUUAAUCACUUAAAUGUGAUAUUCGACCUAUGUCACACUAUACUCGGUCUAAUCGGCUAAAAUCUUCAAUUUAACUCCAAAUCAAUUCUUCUCACUUUCUACACUCCAAUUAUACCUAAAUUACCUUAGUGACUGUGAAUGAGAUUCAAUUUAUUAGUCCCGGGUCAAUAAUCAUACAUGUCUAUAUGUUAAGCAAAAAUUCAGAUUUUCACACAAAAAUUUCCCAUUUAAUUUCUAGCCUCACCAAACAUUAAAUAUCACCAAAAUAUCAUGAAAUAUCAUCAAUUUCAGCCACAAUAUCCUCCCUAGAAAAUUCGGCCAAUGAUGGGUAAUGGGAGAAAAUGAAUUUUUCUUGUUGGUUUGUUUCUAGGCAUGAUAAACUAACUAAUAACACUAACAUAACUUAGAAUCAAAUCAAUCCAACUUCAUUCUCUCUCCAUACCCAUUCCAACCAGCCAUGAAUUCACCAUGAAAACAUGAAAUCUAACCAUGGAAAAUGAAAAAGAAAUAUGGGUAGUGUAAAUCAUAAGUCAAAAUCAAAAAAUUUUACCUUUAUUAGCUUAAUCCCUUGAAAUCUCACACUUUUUCUUCAAUUUUCCCACCUAGGGUUCUUGUUUUUUUUCCUUUCCUCCUUUAAUCUUCUUUGG